rnacentral:rRNA from 1 species
GACGAACGCUGGCGGCGUGCUUAACACAUGCAAGUCGAACGGAAAGGCCCUGCUUUUGUGGGGUGCUCGAGUGGCGAACGGGUGAGUAACACGUGAGUAACCUGCCCUUGACUUUGGGAUAACUUCAGGAAACUGGGGCUAAUACCGGAUAGGAGCUCCUGCUGCAUGGUGGGGGUUGGAAAGUUUCGGCGGUUGGGGAUGGACUCGCGGCUUAUCAGCUUGUUGGUGGGGUAGUGGCUUACCAAGGCUUUGACGGGUAGCCGGCCUGAGAGGGUGACCGGCCACAUUGGGACUGAGAUACGGCCCAGACUCCUACGGGAGGCAGCAGUGGGGAAUAUUGCACAAUGGGCGAAAGCCUGAUGCAGCAACGCCGCGUGCGGGAUGACAGCCUUCGGGUUGUAAACCGCUUUCGCCUGUGACGAAGCGUGAGUGACGGUAAUGGGUAAAGAAGCACCGGCUAACUACGUG